rnacentral:rRNA from 1 species
UACGUAGGGUCCAAGCGUUAUCCGGAAUCACUGGGCGUAAAGCGUGUGUAGGCGGCGUGUUAAGUGCGAUGCGAAAUCCUGUGGCUCAACCAUAUGGACUGUAUCGCAUACUGGCAUGCUAGAGGAUGGCAGAGGCAAGUGGAAUUUGUAGUGUAGCAGUGAAAUGCGUAGAUAUUACAAGGAACACCAAUGGCGAAGGCAGCUUGCUGGGCCAUAUCUGACGCUGAGACACGAAAGCGUGGGGAGCGAACAGG